rnacentral:rRNA from 1 species
UACGUAGGGGGCAAGCGUUGUCCGGAAUCAUUGGGCGUAAAGCGCGCGUAGGCGGCCCGAUAAGUCCGUUGUAAAAGUCCAGGGCUCAACCCUGGAAAGCCGGUGGAUACUGUCGGGCUAGAGUCCGGAAGAGGCGAGUGGAAUUCCUGGUGUAGCGGUGGAAUGCGCAGAUAUCAGGAGGAACACCAAUGGCGAAGGCAGCUCGCUGGGACGGUACUGACGCUAAGGCGCGAAAGCGUGGGGAGCGAACAGG